UGCGGGGUGGAGCAGUCUGGUAGCUCGUCGGGCUCAUAACCCGAAGGUCGUUGGUUCAAAUCCAGCCCCCGCAACCA
rnacentral:tRNA from 2 species